UGUGGCCUUGAGCCGUGGCUUUCGGAGCUAACGCGUUAAGUAGACCGCCUGGGGAGUACGGUCGCAAGAUUAAAACUCAAAUGAAUUGACGGGGGCCCGCACAAGCGGUGGAGCAUGUGGUUUAAUUCGAUGCAACGCGAAGAACCUUACCUACUCUUGACAUCCAGAGAACUUUUCAGAGAUGAAUUGGUGCCUUCGGGAACUCUGAGACAGGUGCUGCAUGGCUGUCGUCAGCUCGUGUCGUGAGAUG
rnacentral:rRNA from 3 species